rnacentral:lncRNA from 1 species
GAGACUUCUGGGUAGUGUAGUCAUACGUGAGGACGUGCGACGACCAGGAAGUCGGCGGGCUGGGAGGUAAAGGGAAGAAUAAAAGCGACAUUGAAAGGCGGGGAGACCAAGUGGGGAAAAGCGCUGUCUGGGAAAGCGAACUACAAGUCCCAGAGUUCCUCGCGCCGGGGGCUGUCCUCGGACUGCUCCAGGCAUUGUAAGGCUCUUCUGUUGGCCCAGUCUGAGCUGCUGCUCCGCCUUCGUCCAGCCCGAGAGCGGUUUCUUCAACUGUGGCUCAGGCAGCACUCUCCCUCCGCGUGGUGUCCGAGCCAGCAGGGCCGUCCGGCCCUCCUGUGUUCAUCAGAACGGCUGGCUCGCGUUAGUCAACCGCCGCUUCGCGCGACAGUCAGAAGAGAGGCUGUGCUGGCGGGGACCCGGAGGGGUUGGGGUGUUUUGGGGACUCGAUUUCCCACAAAUAGGUAUUUCUAGCCUAUUUGUUAAAUACAAGUAGGUGGCCUGCUUGUAAAUUGCUUUACAAGUUUCAGAGGUUUCCCUAUCAAAUGUCUCAUCGGAUAGUGGGGUAAGAAGAGGAGCCCUAUUAUAAUGACUUGCCCAACUCCCCCCGUAUUCUUGGAGUUAAAAGAAAAAAAAAUCCUUGGGCAGAGACGUGCACAAACAUAAAGUUGCGUUUACAGACAUCAGUCAUGUGGGCUAGAAACGCAGUUUUGCAUGAAGAUAGGGGAAGCCAUGUUCAUACUAGCUCUGCAUCCCUGUAGAAUUUGUCUUCUCACCCCCCACAACAGUUCCUGGUGUGCUUUUUUCCUCCUCUAAGUACCUUCAGGAGAAAGUACUUGGUCUUGUAGCUUAGUGAAGAGUGGCGAUGAAGAAAGAUCUUUCAGCCCAUUGCCAGAACUUAACUGCCCCGGUUAGUAAUGGCUUAAGAGUUGCUUCUGCCGACAUGUACUAAGUGCAUGUCGACCUCUGCAAGUGGCGGUGCGUAUGCGUGCCACUGAACAUUAAUCUUGAAAGCAGAAUCAACCAUGCAGCAAGCCCUUAUGUUGUCCAUUUUCAGGGGAGGAAAUUUCAACCUGAAAGACUUCAUAGAGACACGGCAAAGGAGUUGAGCCCCAUAAGAGUCCGUAGGAACAACAAAAGGCUCAGACGCCAGGACCCAUGGCUAAAAUGUAUGGGCUGGGGAUGCGGGCGGGAGCGGGGGGAAGGGAACUAAAGCUAGAGAGGACCUUGUAGAACCGUGUUGUCAAGAAUCUAUUUCAUGCUGAGGAAUUUGAGCUUUCUCUUCCAGGCAGUGAGGAGCCACUCAAAGGUUUUGUCUAUGUUUUUAAUUGGACCUAGGUGUAGAACUGGAUUUAAUUAUAAUCCAAUUCAUUAACCCAUGCCUGGCCCGCUGUGAUAGUUUCCUGUUGAUGCUGUAACAAAUUACUGCAAAUUUAGAUACUUAAAACAACACGAAUUUAUUUUCUUACAAUUCUGGAAGUCAGAAGUCCAAAAUCAGUUACACUGGGCUAAAAUCAAGGUGUCGGCAGGGCUGGUUCCUUGCCUUUUCCAGCUUCUAGAGGCUGCCUGCAUUCCUUGGCUCUUGGCCCCAUCCUCCAUCUUCAAGAAAAGAAGCAUAGUAUCUUCUUUCUUCUCUGCCUCUGUACGUACAUCGUGAUUCUCCUGCCACCCCUUUUCAUUUACGAGAACCUUUUGUGAUUACUUUGGGCGAAGAUUAUCUCAAGAUUCUUAAUCACAUCUGCAAAGUCCCUUUUAGCAUAACAUUCCCAAAUUCUGGGAAUUAGGACAUAGAAAUCUUUGGUGGACCAUUAUUCAGUUUACCGCACCCACCUUUAUUACUUUAGUUUUGAUUAUAGCCACAAACCCACCACACUAAAAAGUUAUAAUGACACGAGUUUAUAUCUGUAUCUAUGCUAUACCUCCUACACACAAUAACACACACCCCUGCCUUCGCUUGGGGUAACCAUCUUUCUGAAUCCUGUCUUUACUAUUUAUUGCUUUCCUUCUACAAGGUUUUAUUCCACAUGUACAUAGUCCUAAAAAUCAUAUGUAUAUACAUGUAUAUUUGAGUUUUUUUUUAACUUAGUAAAAAGAAUAUGCCCACUACAAACUAGAAUGGUUAAAAUGGGCAUGUUUACUGGCAGUGAAAUUAUUAAGGUUAAAAUCCAAAACACUAACACCACCAAGUGCUGGUGAGUAUGAAAAGCAACAGGAACUAUCAUUCUUUGCUGGUAGGACUGCAAAAUGUUAUAGCCCCUUUGGAGGACAGCUUGUCAGUUCCUUACAAAACUAAACAUAAUGCCUAGGUACUUACCCAAAUGAGCUGAAAACAUGUUUACAUAAAAACCUGCACACAAAUGUUUACAGCAGCUUUGUUCAUAAUCAUCCCAAAUUGGAAGCAACUAAGAUGUCCUUGAUAUAAGUGAAUGGAUAAACUGUCGUACAAGGUGGUACAUCCAUGCAAAGAAAUAUUGUUCAGUGAUUUUUUUAAAAAGAGCUAUUGAUAUGGUUUGGCUCUGUAUCCCCACCCAAUCUGAUCUUGAAUUGUACUCCCAUAAUUCCCACGUGUUGUGGGAGGGACCUGGUGGGAGAUAAUUUGAAUCCUGGGGGCAGUUUCCCCCAGACUGUUCUUGUGGUAGUGAAUAAGUCUCACGAGAUCUGAUGGUUUUAUCAGGGGUUUCCGCUUUUGCAUCAUCCUCAUUUUCUCUUGCUGCCACCAUGAUUCUGAGGCCUUCCCAGCCAUGUGGAACUCUAAGUCCAAUUAAACCUCUUUUUCUUCCCAGUCUGGGGUAUGUCUUUAUCAGCAGUGUGAAAACAGACUAAUACAGCUCUCAAGCUACAAAAAGACAUGGAGGAAUGUUAAAUGUACAGCACCAAGAGAAGCCCAGUGGAAAAGGCUGUAAACGCUACAACUUUAACUAUAUGACACUCUGGAAAGGGCAAAACUCAGUGGUUCCCUGGGCAUCAGGGAAGGAGAG